rnacentral:rRNA from 1 species
GACGAACGCUGGCGGCGUGCUUAACACAUGCAAGUCGAACGCUGAAGCUUGGUUUUUGCACUGGGUGCAUGUGUGGCAAACGUGUGAGUAAUAUGAGUGUACUCCGCUUUUGUUUCUGGUAUCUUCCUGGGAAUCUGGCUCAAACCUGGUAUACGCUCCUUCACCGUAUUGUGGUUUGUGGAAAGGGUUUUAGUGGUUUUGGAUGGGCUCGCGGCCUAUCAGCUUGUUGGUGGGGUACUGGCUCACCAAGGCGCGGACGGGUAGCCGGCCUGAGAGGGUGACCGGCCACAUUGGGACUGAGAUACGGCCCAGACUCCUACGGGAGGCAGCAGUGGGGAAUAUUGCACAAUGGGCGGAAGCCUGAUGCAGCGACGCCGCGUGAGGGAUGACGGCCUUCGGGUUGUAAACCGCUUUCAGCAGGGAAGAAGCGAGAGUGACGGUACGUGCAGAAGAAGCGCCGGCUAACUACGUG